ensembl:processed_transcript E130307A14Rik RIKEN cDNA E130307A14 gene
NGAGGAGGGGGUUCUCCCCCGCUCGGAGCGCGCGGCUGGGGAAGAAGCUGGCGGGAAGCCGGGCCGCGCGCCGAGGAAUCGAUGAUUCGGCCUGUGGGCCGGGUCACUGCGGCGGGGCCCGGGGAGCGCCGAUAGCAUGGAUAGGCUCAGAGGGGCGCAGGGUUUUGGCGGCUUCUCGAGUUCCCCUCGCCGACCGCCAUGUCACAUCUUACGGAAGAGGCGGGGGCUGCCGCGGAGAGGAUAUUUUUUGUUUUGUUUUGUUUUCACAAGUGUGGAAUGCAUCAGUUAAAAUCUCAAGAAACCCCGAGGCAGAGGAUUAAGAGAUGCUGAAGAGAAGAUGAGUCUGUGUGCAUUUAUCUGUGCUUAGCCUGCUCCGAAUGGGAACUCAGCUCUCAAAUGAAGGUGUGUGUGGUGUGUGAUGGUGGAAGUAACCAGCAGCCAGGCAAAUGGCAGAGCGUGGCCCUUUUCCACCUCCAUGUGUAAUAAUUGCAGGACUCCUUUCCCAGAUGCACCAAGACUCAACACCUACACCCACGAGAGUAGAUGCUCAGGAAAGAUUUGCUGACUGAACACAUGAUUGUGUCUACGCCUAGCAGUACUUUGCUGCGGGAUGGGCCCUGGCAGGGUUGGUAAAGCCCUCAUUUGUAGACAUGGAACCUCCCAGCUCCAGCCCUGCUAAGAACUGACAGAACUUGGCUAGCUCCAUGUUUUGUUCACAUGACUCUCAACCUGGUGUGGCCUGGACUCCAGUCCCUGGCUCAAGGAAAGUCCAGACUGACAUAGAAAAUCCCUGCUCACCAGCCUUGACCUUGGGAGAAAGCCCCUGACCUGUGAGUGGACAGAAGGCCUAGUGGUCAGCCCGUGGGAGCCCUGGAGCGUGCACUGCUGGAGCAGCUCAGAAAAAGCUGAGAAGCCAAGACUUGACUGUCAGUCCUGGAGAAUUAGAACAUGCCUGCUAAAUUUCAGUCCACUCUGAGGAAGGGGCGGUGCCCACAAGGAAACCUAGUGGGUGGGGUUCUGGCUGGGACUCAUCUGGAGUUCCCAGGGCAGAUGCCCGGCCCCAGCUUAUAGACCAUGAUGCGGCUGGGCUUCCGUGUCUGAUUCUUAAGUGCCUCAGGUAAACAGACUCUCCUUUGCUUUGCCAGGAGGAAUGACAUUACUAUCAGCAUUGUAAAAGUCUGUGGCCUUUGGGAGAGUAAUUUUACUUCUAAGACUCUCCUCUACAGAGAAGUGUGCACACUGUUCCCAGUGGAGUCUAUAAAGAUAGCAAAGAGCAAAGACUUAAAGCAGAAUGGCUCCGGGUUUGAAGUGUUGUGUAUUUAGACAAUGAACAGCCCACCUUUAAACAAGCCCCACAUGGACUGAAGCGGAGGCAGCUCCAAAUGUAUUAGGUGACAGUGUGCCACAUGGCUCUGUGUGAUGGUAAGAUUAUAUGUGUACAUGUCAUCUCGAAAGGAGAAUUCGGCUUAUCUCUGGGGAGAGAGUCUGCAUCUUUUCUCAUUUGUACCGAGUAUGGAGUGUGUAUCUACCUCUCUGUCAGAAAUGUCAAGGGAAGGGUUCACCAUUGACCUGAUGCUCACAAAGGUUAGGAACCAAUGCCAACCACAAUGCCCACCUCUACCUUCAGGAGACAGUAAACGCCUUAGAAUACAAAACCUAUAAACAACCAAGACUGUGGUGCCUGCUGGGGCUGGGCCUGAGCUGCACACAGAGGCUAGGUACCGAACAGCUGCCAUGGUAAACUGGCACAGUUAGGCACGCGGCCGGGUUCACACGCCCUCUGCCCUGACUUUAAAGACAGCAGUCUUGGCCCAGCUUCCCUCGUCCCCUAUGUAUGGGCAGAGAGCUAUACUUGCUGGGUUUCCAGCUCUUGAAUUUGGACUCCUCUUCUCUUUUCUCUUUUUGAGAGAGGGUCUCACUGUGUAUUCGUGGCUGCUCUGGAACUAACUGGACCAGGCUGGCCUUGAUGUAGAUCUCUGCCUUCUAAAAAAUAAAAAUAUGUUUUAUGUAUA